ensembl:lncRNA
CGCCACCCUGGACUGCAAGGACUCAUGAUGCUCAAGCAGAAGACUGAGCUGUGAGGUGGGAGGUGGUGACCCUCACUGCGUUAGCCUCUGUCACAUCCUGGGUCCCACCCCUGAGGUCACCUGGGGAGCCAUUCUUGGGUCAUCCCUCCUCCAGGCGACAUUCUCAGCUGCAGCAGAAACUGACUUGGGCCAAUUUUGGAAGAAAAAUAAGAUAUUAAAAUGUGCUGACCUUCCAGGCAGCCUGAACAGUCCACCUUCCCAUCUUGCAGAGCCGGGAAAAUCCUACGGUGACAUCACGGACGGGGAGCAAGGUCACGACGCGACCGAGGCCACUCUCCAAGGGGACCAGCAGUGGCCAGCGCUGCAGACCAAGGGCCGCUCCUGCGCCUUGUGCUCGGCACAGCCAGCUCCUGAGCCACCGUCCCCCGCCUGUGGAGCCCGGGAGGCAAGGGUCAGCUUCCCUGAACGGCAGCCUCGCCCCCAUCAUGGCCGGCACAACCUAAACCGAGUAACGAUGAUGAGCCCGCGGGCAGCCCUGCCUGCAGCCCUGGCCCGCUCUCUCCCCGCUCCACGGUUCACACGCAGGGAAGAAAGCAGGAAAGGACCGGGUGCAGAGCCGCUGAGCAGAGAGAGCAGGGGCCCUCCCUCGGCCCCGGGGGAUGAAGUGUUUGGAGAAGCGUGGCUCUGGGCUCAUCUGGAAAGUAUGCAUCUUGAAAGGCAGAUGAUGCAAAACACCCUGCUUGGUGCCCGCAACUGUCGCCUGGAGGCUCGGCUAUUCCUGCCAAGAACCGGGUGACUCCAGGCUGGAAACGUUCAGGAACCCAUUAGGUGGGCAUCGGGCUGGGGGCUGGGGCCCAGCUCCAGGGUCAC